UCUCCCAAAUAUCUGGCGAAGGUAGUUGGAAGCACCACAACUGCUUUUUUUAACAGUACACGCAGGGCGGAUAUCUCGAUGCUCAAAGUCUCUCAAAACCCACAUUUGUUUUCUUUCUUAUUAAGAACAUGAAAGCAACUACACCAAGCAAAUCUCUUCCUUUCUUCACCUCAAAAAAACUCCAACUCCAACGUCAAAGUUUCUCUUUAACUCUACAGACCCUUCUCUUCAAAGAAUAUAAUUUGUAAGGCUAGAUUUCUCAACAGUGAGUUGGGCCCCCGACUAUUUGGGCCCAAGGGCCCUCUUAAAAGAAGCUCCAGAAGAAGUUGGGUUCCCUCAUCCCUGGUGGCUUACUUUCAAUUUCUACGGUCUUAAGUCUCGGCGUAACUUCCGUCGAGGGCCUUGAGUUGAGCUGCAGAUUUCUGUGUCAUUAGGGCGAGGAAAAUCCAAUUACGCAGGUGUUUUUUCUAUUUUUUUUCUUGUUCUCCUAAAAGAGCUUUGAGCUGCUGAGCAUCAAAUUUUGAAGUGGGUAGAAGAUAAUAAAUGGAGCGGACGCUGUGGGGACAUCUACCGCUGUUAGUAAGAGCGAACUCCAAAGAAUCGGUGGAAUACAUUCUUCAAUCCCUCUGGAAAACUCGCAAGACUGGCCUCGACGCCGAUGACCGCCGCCUCAUCUGCGAAAUGCUUCAGCUCCAAAACGACUCCGACCUCGACCCCCUUCUUGUAUGUCUCCGCAUGUUAAUCCGCAGAUGUGUGUAUGAGAAUAUCAGCAAAGAUGAUAUCCAAAAGCUCUUUCCACAUGAGGUUCUUCCUGAAUUACAAAGGCUAUUGACACUUUUGUUGCAAAAGUUUCAAAAAGAGUGGCGGGCAGAGAUACACAAGGAUGAGGUUUCUUUACCACGCUUAAAGGCAAUGACUUGGAAUAUGGGGAAUCAGGACAGUGAAGUGACAGAGCCGGUGGCUGUUAUCAAUUUGAAGCUCCAAAAUGAUACACAGGCUCCCCAAGAAGAGUUGGAUUUGAAAUUCCAAUUAGCUAAAGAAACCCUGGAUACAAUGCUGAAGUCUAUGUACUGUAUAAGAGAUCAGUUGUCUAAUUUGGGGUGAGACAUCAAAUGGACUUUUCUCCCAGGAAAUGUAUGCAGUGUAAUUUACCAAUGAUAUCGCAUAGAAUGGUACAGACGCACAGCUUUCCCCUCAAAGUCCAGUGUUCUCUAGAUUUGACUUCAUCUGUAAUCUUGGUUUUCUUCUAAUAGCAACAGUGCCCUGUGGAAGAAGAAAGAGUGCUUUGCUUUGGUUUUAUCUACCUAUGCUUUUGACAGUUGUGGAAUCAUAGAUUAUUUGAGAUUGACCAUGACCAAAAGCCAAGUUUGAGUGUUUGAUCCACAUGAAAUGGACCUGUAGCCAGUAGCCAAUAGCCAGGGUUCCUUCGUGUUUCGCCUGGUUGGAUCAUAAGCACUGAAAGUUCAAGGGUUUGACAAGGUUGAUCAGAGUUUUACUUGUAUUUAAUUUCUAUUAAAUAUGAGAGAGAGUGUUGCAAUGUCUUGUUAUAAUCAUAAGGAUAUUAAUAGCCGUAUCUCACAUGCAAAGAUAUUUGGUGUUA